rnacentral:lncRNA from 1 species
AGAAAAGCUUCUAACAAAAAAAUAAAACAAAAUGCAUUUCCUCCUUUGAAAAUUAUACCCGAACUUUAAAGAUAGUUUGGGCAUUUUUUUAAACAAUAAAAUGAAACCCCUUUUACGAAUUAAAAUAAAACCCUACUUAAAAGAAUUCAAAAAAAAUCAAAACCCUUUUUUUUAAAGAAUUAAAAUCACAACCCUUUUAAAAAGAAUUAAAAUAAAGCUCUNNNNNNNNNNGUUACGAAUUAAAAUAAAACCCUACUUAAAAGAAUUCAAGAAAAAUCAAAACCCUUUUUUUUUAAAAGAAUUAAAAUCACAACCCUUUUAAAAAGAAUUAAAAUAAAGCUCUUUUAACAAGAAG